GGGGAAUAUUGCACAAUGGGCGAAAGCCUGAUGCAGCGACGCCGCGUGAGUGAAGAAGGCCUUCGGGUCGUAAAACUCUGUCCUUGGUGAAGAAAAAAAUGACGGUAGCCAAGGAGGAAGCCCCGGCUAACUACGUGCCAGCAGCCGCGGUAAUACGUAGGGGGCGAGCGUUGUCCGGAUUUACUGGGCGUAAAGGGUGAGUAGGCGGUUGUAUAAGUCAGAUGUAAAAGGCACAGGCUUAACUUGUGUAAGCAUUUGAAACUGUACAACUUGAGUGCAGGAGAGGUAAGUGGAAUUCCUAGUGUAGCGGUGAAAUGCGUAGAUAUUAGGAGGAACACCAGUGGCGAAGGCGACUUACUGGACUGUAACUGACGCUGAGUCACGAAAGCGUGGGUAGCAAACA
rnacentral:rRNA from 1 species